GGGGAUAUUGGGGCGUAAAGAGCUUGUAGGUGGCUUGUCGCGUCUGCCGUGAAAACCCGAGGCUCAACCUCGGGCGUGCGGUGGGUACGGGCAGGCUAGAGUGUGGUAGGGGAGACUGGAACUCCUGGUGUAGCGGUGAAAUGCGCAGAUAUCAGGAAGAACACCGAUGGCGAAGGCAGGUCUCUGGGCCAUUACUGACACUGAGAAGCGAAAGCAUGGGUAGCGAACAGGAUUAGAUACCCUGGUAGUCCAUGCCGUAAACGUUGGGCACUAGGUGUGGGGGACAUUCCACGUUUUCCGCGCCGUAGCUAACGCAUUAAGUGCCCCGCCUGGGGAGUACGGCCGCAAGGCUAAAACUCAAAGGAAUUGACGGGGGCCCGCACAAGCGGCGGAGCAUGCUGAUUAAUUCGAUGCAACGCGAAGAACCUUACCAAGGCUUGACAUGCACUGGACGGCUGCAGAGAUGUGGCUUUCUUUGGACUGGUGCACAGGUGGUGCAUGGUUGUCGUCAGCUCGUGUCGUGAGAUGUUGGGUUAAGUCCCGCAACGAGCGCAACCCUCGUUCUAUGUUGCCAGCACGUGAUGGUGGGGACUCAUAGGAGACUGCCGGGGUCAACUCGGAGGAAGGUGGGGACGACGUCAAAUCAUCAUGCCCCUUAUGUCUUGGGCUUCAAGCAUGCUACAAUGGUCGGUAUAAUGGGUUGCGAAACUGUGAGGUGGAGCGAAUCCCAAAAAGCCGGCCUCAGUUCGGAUUGGGGUCUGCAACUCGACCCCAUGAAGUCGGAGUCGCUAGUAAUCGCAGAUCAGCAACGCUGCGGUGAAUACGUUCCCGGGCC
rnacentral:rRNA from 1 species